GGAUCAUUGUUUCUUAUUGGAGAAGGCCUGGUGUUUAGUUGGUGUCUGUGUGGUACCUACACCAGCAUUUUCCAUCAAGACCUCCAGAAAGAGAGAUCAUCUCAAGGUGGUUCAAAUGUGUCGAGCGGUAGCAUCGCUUGAUCCCUAGUGGUUGCCCGCGCAAGGAGGAUACAGGGACGCUACAGUGGUGUAGGAGUCAGUACAUGUAGUAGCUAGCUCCAGAAAAGCUAGCGGCCUGAUCUGGCCAUGCCGCACCACCACUGGCACGUCCACCAUGGUUGCUGGCAGCCGUCCAAGUUGAGCGCUGAUGGGAGUCCUUAGCGUGCUUCAACGACACUCUCUCAUAUCAAUCUCUCUCUUUCUUUGCUCCUGCUAUUAAAAUGUGUAGAUGUGCUGCUUUGCUAAUUGAGUAGUUGGGAAGAUGUGAAAAGAACAUGCUCUCUAGGUGUGUGAUUAUUCCUGUGAGCACAAAUGUAUUUAAAUGUUUAUUUUGUGCUUCAGCUUAUGCUUUUGGGCAGUACAAAUACAUCUUCAAAAAUAAGUACAGAUGCGGUCUUAUAGAACUCUAAUUGUUGUUGGAUGCUAUUCCAAAUGCCAAUGAUCAUGCAAAACGGUUAUUGCUAGAAUCUAGAUGAUAUGUAAUGUAGUUACCAUAGUUUCACCCUAUUUUUAUGGUUCUAAUUAUUGUUGCAUAAGUCUUUAAAAGAAAUGUUCGCUAAUUUUUUGUGAUCAUUGCUUGUAGGUAUUCGUAUGAACAUUAAAAUAAUGGCUUUUCUUGUAGGAGGUUCAGAGAUUGUUGUGGAGCAAGUUCAAGAGAUCAGUUUGGUGAAAAUAAUGUGAUCUUUUGGACAGGAUUUUGCAUGAUCCAUAGCCAUCAGGCAAGCAAUUCAAGGCCUACUACGCGAGUCAUCCAUCGUCUUCUAUGCAUGAAGAGCUUGUUAUCUCUACACAUCUAGCAUCGGAGUAUCUCCUCCCCUUGCCGCACACACAUGCCCGCGGUCGAGCUAGUGUUGUUUGUGAUUGUUGGUCGUGACUCUUAUGUUGUCAUUG